ensembl:lncRNA
AUGACAGUCCUGAGACAGAGGGACUACAGGCUUCACUGUCCAUUCCGAUUGGGCAGAUUGCAGCUGGAGCUGUGGAACCUGGCUGCCGCUGCCACUAUGACACCGAGUCUGGUGUUAGCAGCACAGAAGAGGAGAAGCACUCGGGGAAGCCGGAGAUUGACGCAGGUGCAGCACCCGACAGCACUUUCGUGUUGGAGGCCGGGGCGCCGCUGCACUCAAGCACCGGGGCCGAGGCAGGUGCAUGGGACGCGUCCCCACUGGGGAAGGAAGCAGCGGCCGAGGAAGAGGCGCUGGCACCGCGCAGGGAUGCUCACCGGGAUGCUCCCCCGGAUGCUCACCUGGAUGCUCCCCCGGAUGCUCACCGGGAUGCUCACCGGGAUGCCGAUGGGACCGCGACGGAAGAGGAGGAGGAUGCAGCACUGCGGGGGGGAGCAGGGGUCGGGGAGGCCCCCCGGGGGGCGCAGAAGCCCCCGGCCGCUGCGGGGGGACAGCGGGCGGAGGGAAGGGCCAGCCCUCGGGGCCCAGCACCUGCGGCCGGAGCAGCAGGGGAUCCCAGGCCGGCUACAGAGGAGCUAGGCCCCGGGGGAGAAGGGGCUGCCCGAGCCCCCCGCGGAGGUGCGGGGGGAGGGGAGGCUCCCCAAGAGCCGGCCUUGCUCCCCAAGAGCUCGCCCCCGGAGCUGCGGACGCAGGAGGGGGAGGCUGAGGCCGGGCUUGCAGCGCGGGAGCCCCGGGGGGCUGGGACCGCGGGCGCGGAGGAACCGGGGGCGGCGGGGCGCGCGGGGGCNGCGGGGCACCCGCCAGCAGCACCUCCGCCCCGCAAGGCGCCCCCAGGGCAGCUGCCCGCCGGGGCCGCGACCUCCCGGGAGCGCACGGGCUUGACGGGGAGGAGCAGGGAUCCGGGCAGGGCGCGAGGGCUGGGGAAGAGGCGCCAGGCUCCCCGACGGACACGGAGCCGGACGGCCAGGGCCGAG